rnacentral:siRNA from 1 species
UCACCGUAUAUUUCUUCAGCC